GAGAGCGGCGUACGGGUGCGGAACACGUGUGCAACCUGCCUUUAUCUGGGGGAUAGCCUUUCGAAAGGAAGAUUAAUACUCCAUAAUAUAUUGAACGGCAUCGUUUAAUAUUGAAAGCUCCGGCGGAUAGAGAUGGGCACGCGCAAGAUUAGCUAGUUGGUGAGGUAACGGCUCACCAAGGCGAUGAUCUUUAGGGGGCCUGAGAGGGUGAUCCCCCACACUGGUACUGAGACACGGACCAG
rnacentral:rRNA from 1 species